rnacentral:rRNA from 1 species
UACGUAGGGGGCUAGCGUUAUCCGGAAUUACUGAGCGUAAAGGGUGCGUAGGUGGUUUCUUAAGUCAGAGGUGAAAGGCUACGGCUCAACCGUAGUAAGCCUUUGAAACUGGGAAACUUGAGUGCAGGAGAGGAGAGUGGAAUUCCUAGUGUAGCGGUGAAAUGCGUAGAUAUUAGGAGGAACACCAGUUGCGAAGGCGGCUCUCUGGACUGUAACUGACACUGAGGCACGAAAGCGUGGGGAGCAAACAGG